rnacentral:rRNA from 1 species
CACGUAGGCGGAUAUUUAAGUCAGGGGUGAAAUCCCAGAGCUCAACUCUGGAACUGCCUUUGAUACUGGGUAUCUUGAGUAUGGAAGAGGUAAGUGGAAUUCCUAGUGUAGCGGUGAAAUGCGUAGAUAUUAGGAGGAACACCGGAGGCGAAGGCGGCUUACUGGACGACAACUGACGCUGAGGUGCGAAAGCGUGGGGAGCAAACA